UACUCGUCGUUAAAUUCUAUAUACGUGCAUUAUGUAUUUUAUAUGUGUUUUACAUAAGCGAAUCUUUAUUUCUGUAAAAGAAGAAGAAGAAAAAAAAAAAAAAAACUAUGAAAAUAUGUACUACCCAUUCAAAGAAGACACGAUCAUAUGUUUCCCACUACGGUUCCCGCACGUAAACGAAGAAUCAUCAGUAUUUAUGAUAUGCUAAUUUCCCGUUACAAAUUCCGCGAUGUUUCGCGGAUGACUGCUCUUACCGGCUACAGCCAGUGGAAAAACCAUCCGUUUGGAAAACCAGUCGUCAACGAAGGAAUGGAAAGGAGCAAGAGAGAAGAGAAACUUGGCUAGAUAUAGCUUUAGAUUCACCGAUUCUCUCAAGACAUACAUCUAAAUGUGACAAAAAAUAUCGAAGGAAAGAUGGAUUUGUGCCAAGAUACUUUAAAAUCUGCUAACUAACUGAAUUCUCUGGCAGAAACAGCAAUGUCUUGAAUCUAUUAUGGUUAAGUAUUAUAAAAAGUAAUAUUUAAUAAUAAAUAUUUUUAUUU